rnacentral:lncRNA from 1 species
AUGUUCUCCCCGUCCCUACGGAGCCCCUGUCCCUCUGGUGUCCCUCUGGUGUCCCUCUGGUGUCCCUCUGGUGUCCCUAUGGUGUCCCUAUGGUGCCCCUGUCCCUACGGUGCCCCUGUCCCUAUAAGGGUCCCUAUGGUGUCCCUAUGGUGGCCCUGUCCCUAUGGUGCCCCUGUCCCUAAGAAUGCCCCUGUCCCUAUGAGAUCCCUAUGGUGUCCCUGUCCCUACGAAGCCGCUGUCCCUAUGGUGUCCCUCUGGUGUCCCUAUGGUGUCCCUGCCCCUAUGGUGUCCCUAUGGUGUCCCUAUGGUGUCCCUCUGGUGUCCCUGUCCCUAUGGUGCCCCUGUCCCUAUAAGGGUCCCUCUGGUUUCCCUAUGGUGUCCCUGUCCCUAUGGGGGUCCCUGUCCCUAACGGUGUCCCUAUGGUGUCCCUCUGGUCCCCCUGUCCCUAUNNNNNNNNNNNNNNNNNNNNNNNUGAUGCCCCGUCCCUGUGGGGUCCCCGUCCCUCUGGGUCCCCCUGGUGUCCCUCCGGCUCCCCCGUCCCUGUGGUCCCCGGCCGCCCCCAACCCCCGCCGUCCCGCAGCGCUCGUCGCGGCGCUCGCUGUUCGUGGCGGCGGCGGCGCGGCACCAGCAGUUGUACCGCCUGGCCAUGACGGGCGCCGGCAUCGACCGCCACCUCUUCUGCCUCUACGUGGCGUCGCGGUACCUCGGCGUGCGGUCCGCCUUCCUCGAUCACGUGAGCGGCGGGGGGGGCGGGGGGGCGAUGGGGGGUGAUGGGGGUGGGGGGGGAUGG